UAAAGUUUACUUGACGUCUGUGAUUCAAUAAUUACAAAUAAAAGUACUUUUAGGAUUUUUUUGAAUUUUGUACUAUACCUUGUAAGUAAGGUAUUAGUUUGUAAGUCAAUAAAAUCAGAAUUAGAAAAGUUUUUCAUGUAAAAUAUGACGAAAGUUGAGAAUAUAUAGUAGGUACCUACCUACAUACUUAUUUCAUAAAGCAGAAUUACAGUUUUAGAGUUAGUUGAAGUGAAUUUAAUUAAUUGUGUUAUUUUUGUAGUGUUUACCGACAUUGCCAUGUACAAUACAAUGCAUGUAGCAUUUGUAUUGUACGCGGAAACGGAACGAAAAAGAUGUCUUUGUCGAGUUCAUUGCAAAACUUUCGUGUCGCGAUACCAGCAGGUUUUAGAAGAAAUACAAAGUCUUCGAACAACUGCUGUUCGCAAUGAAUUAGAGAUAAGUCUUGGCAGCUUUAAACUUUUAUGCCAAUGGAUCAUACAAAUGGCUUUGUGAUGGCUAAGGCAUCUUUUAGCAAAUGCCUACAUGAAGUCGCUGACGCUCCUGAAUACCCCAGCUGUUUAAAAAAAAUGUGUUAAGUUCCCUUUGCAUUAAACACAAAAUCAUUAUAAAUAAAUAUGUGAUGCCAAUCUAAUAAUAACAUAGUGGAUGCUCAAUUUGGUGGUGCAUCUUAUAACUUGUACAUAUGGAACCAGUGCAAUAAGACCACUUGAGGAAAACCUGCCCAAUAGGGACCGCUGUUGGUUGUUAGGUGACCAAUGUUUGCAUGAUGACCCCCAUCUUGGGAGCUGCUCCUAGAUCCCAUGAAGAUAUGCACAACAUUGCUGUGUCAGAAAUACGGUGGAGCCUUGUAGUUGGGUGCAUAUUGUAAAAUGUUUCCUCACUCCAAAACCAUGAACUCUGGUUUCCUAAACCCUCAAGCUAUGCAGCCGAAGGAGGAGACUUAUCACAGGAGAAUCACUAAUAAUUUUGAAGAAGUGAAGAGCUUAACAAUGUUUCAACCAACACCUAAAGAAGCUUUCACUUGGCUGUUAGAUCAAGGGCUGGAUACAGAAAACAGUAAUCCUUGUGAUGGCAGUAUUGUCCAAGGAUUCCUCACUCAAAACCAUGAUAACAAGUUGCUAGAACCCUCAAGCUAUGCAGACAAAGGACUGGAUAUAUUUUUUCGUGACCAAGCCUUCUGUAUAAUUAUUUAUACUUAAACCAUACAAAGCACUAUCUAGCCCCAAAGUAGGCAUACAGAGUAGCUUGUGUUGUGGGUACUAAAAUAGUUGAUAUUAUAAUAUUCAUUUACAUUUAUAUACUACCUAUAAAUACUUAUAUAAUGUAUAAAUACACACACACUGGAAAAAACUCAUGCUCUUCACACAAAUAUUUUCCAGGUGUGGGAAUCGAACCCAUGACCGUGGAUGCAGGAGCACUACUUACUGCGCCACGCGUAUGUGUUUUUAUUUUGAAGCAAAUUAUUAAAGUUGAUAAUUCAAAUUGUAGUCAUGUUUUUAAUUAAUCUAUAAUUAAUUUUUAAUUUACAUUUUUGUUAAAUAUUUACCUAUACUUCAGUCUAUUUUUGUUAGAGGGGGUACCUAUAUGUGUAAGUAGGGUCGUUUCUUGAUUAAAUUAAACUAAAGAAUGAAAGAUAUAUAUUAUAACAAAAUUUGUCAACAACAAUAUAUCAAGUCUGAAUAAAAAAUACCAACACAAGUAAA